AGUUCGGCCUGUGAUUCCAAUUUGGAGCCUGUCAGAGGAGAGGGAUGGAUAGAGGGAGCUGGGAGCUGCGUGUGUGUGGAAAGGGCAGGUGAGACGUGACAGUCGCCCGAGGACCAAUGGAGAAAACGGAAGCCGGAAUAAUUGCGUAACACCGGUGAUAGGAGAUAAAAGGCCCGGGUGCGGACAACUUCGAUGAGCUCAUUUCGAAAGAGAUAUUCCCUCGCGGUGAAUUGCUCCUUCCUUAAGGAGGUGAUACGGCAACUUAAAUCCCGUGUGCACCAGGGAGGUACUGUAUGACAGCUCAUCACUGGCUCUGGAGAAAUGAGCGGUUGUCUCUGUUGCCCAGGUCAGCUCCACGCUGGGAUGUUAUGAAGGAACGAAACCAAUUCCGGAUGGUCCAUCAUCCGGAGUUCCUCUUAAUUUUGCUUGGCAGCAAAGGGGAUUCAGACCCACGGCUCCUCCACCAGGAAAAUGAAAGCAACUCAGCCUCAGCCUCUGAGAAGGGCAGACCAUAGAAGUGGCACGUCCAAGAUCUAAACAAAGAAGAACAAUGGGAGCUUGUGUUUAUGAAUGUCACGGAUUUCAAAGGUUCUCGUAAUGAGAGAAAAUGACCACCAUUCUCCUCCAGCCCCAUUAAAGCUGGUUACUUUGAGGCUCUUAUGUUUCCCC